UACGUAGGGUGCAAGCGUUAUCCGGAAUUAUUGGGCGUAAAGAGCUCGUAGGCGGUUUGUCGCGUCUGCUGUGAAAACUGGAGGCUCAACCUCCAGCCUGCAGUGGGUACGGGCAGACUAGAGUGCGGUAGGGGAGAUUGGAAUUCCUGGUGUAGCAGUGAAAUGCGUAGAUAUCAGGGGGAACACCGAUGGCGAAGGCAGGUCUCUGGGCAUUAACUGACGCUGAGGAGCGGAAAGCAUGGGGAGCGAACAGG
rnacentral:rRNA from 1 species